UCUACCGAGCCCUCCCGCCUCGCUAUUCCUCCUCCCGCGUGCCUGCUCCCUCGCCCUCCGCCCUGUUCGCCGCCCCCGCCCCAACGAGGCCACCGCACCCGCCAACCCAGCCUUCUCCGCCGCCGACGGGGUCACCGCCAAGGACCUCCACGCCACGCGCACCUCCUCGCGACCUUGCCCACUCGCGCCGCGCCAGCGACCCCACCCCGGCCCCCAUGUCCAACGCCGCCGCGCCGUACCGCGGGUACCUCCCGCAUGCCGUCUCCUCGCCGCGCGCGCCGGCGUUGAGCUCCGCCCGUGGCGGAGGAGGGCCGCGCCCGCGACGUCGAGCUCCGCCCCCGGCGGAGGAGGGCCUCGCCCGCGGCGCAGGAGGGCCACGCGCACGGCGGAGGAGGGCCUCGCCGGCGGCGUCGAGCUCCGCCCCCGGCGGUGGAGGGCCGCGCCCGCGCGGAGGGUCGCGCCGGCGGGAGGAGGGCCGCGCCCGCGGUGUCGAGCUCCGCCCCCGGCGGCAGAGGGUUGCGCCCGCGCGGAGGAGGGUCGCGUUGGCGGCGCUUGAGCGGAGGGAUGAGCUGCGGCGGCGGAGGCUCCCCGGCGGCGAGGCGUGCGGCGCUUCCGGACUGAGUCUGAUGCGUGGGGUCCACUCAUCAGAUCACUUUUUUGGAGUGGAGGAGAAGAAUGGAUGGAGAGUCGGACACAACAACAGAACUAGCUAGUUCCUGUGUGCGCGAGAGGGCAAGGCCUGCCAUAGUGCCAUGAGCGGGGGAGCGGGGAUGGUCGCGGCAGCCAUCGUGCAGCGUGUCGCCAGCAAGCUCGGCAAUAUCGCUUGGGAGAGGAUCGAGCUGAUGUGGAGGUUCAAAGAGGAUGCCCAGGAGAUGAAGGACAAAAUGGUUACUCUGCAGGUUGCGCUUAGCCAUGCCGACAAGCACAUCAGAGGGACUGACGACGCAUUGGCCCAACAUUGGCUCGAGAAGUACAAGUCUCUUGCCUAUGACAUCGAAGACGGGCUGGAUGAGUUGGAGGCCAAUGCUUUAAUAUGGAAAUGGAACCCAAAAACGCUUAAAUUGUGCUUCUCAUCUGUCAAUCCAAUCUUUGUGCGUAUCACCAUGUCAAACAAGAUGAGAAGUAUUAGGGUGAGGUUACAUAAGAUUGCUGAGAAUGCCAAGAAAUUCAAUUUCGUCCCCCCAUCUGCAUCAACAGAACAUGCUAAUUAUGAAAUGGGGAGAGAAACAUAUGUUGGUGGCAGAGAUGAUGUUCAGAUGGUAGGAAGGGAAAGAGAGAAGAAACAUAUACUUCAUGAGGUGUUGGAAAAAUAUGGAGAUCGAGGGAGCUCUAUUAUUCCUAUUGUUGGCCUUGGUGGUAUGGGUAAAACAACUGUUGCAAAAUUUGUUUACACUCAUAAAGAAACAACUGAGUUUGAUCUGAAAGCCUGGGUCCAUGUAUCAAUGGAGUUCGAACUAAAGAGAAUUGUAUGUGACAUUAUCUAUCAGUUAGACAGCCGCAUUAUUCCAGCUAAAGAUACUAGUCUGCAUCGUCUAAAAUCUCAGCUCGACCAUAUAUUGUCUGGAAAGUUGUACCUUAUUGUCUUAGAUGAUUUAUGGGAGGAAAGGGGCCAUCAUUUGGAGAAACUGGUGACCAUGUUACCACCAGGAGAGAAAGGCAGCAAGAUAAUUGUAACCACACGUAGUGAGAAAGUUGCUAGUACAUUAUCUGUUGUAGGAGCUUCAUAUUUUCAUAUUGUUGAUCCAAUCAAACUAGAGGGUUUGUCAGAUUAUGAAUGCUGGUCUAUUAUGAAGCCUCUAAAUUUAGGAGAUGGUCAAAGUACUGACCUUGCGGACAUUGGACAAGAAAUUUCACGACGAUGUAACGGAGUACCUCUAGUUGCCAAGGCUCUUGGUUACGUGAUGCGGAAGCAUUGCACAAGAGGUGCAUGGCUUGAAAUCAAGGAUAGUAAUAUAUUGGAUAUCAAGGAUGAUGACAAGGGAAUUCUUAAGGGCUUGCUGCUGAGCUACCACCACAUGGCUCCCCCACUUAAACUCUGUUUCAUGUAUUGCUCUAUAUUUCCUAAGAGCCAUGAGAUAGAUCAUGACAUCUUGAUCCAGCAAUGGAUUGCUUUGGGAUUUAUUCAAGAUGCUGAUGGACAGUCACUUCAAAUACUUGGCACACAAUACGUUGAAGAACUCUUUGGGAUGUCCUUCCUUACAAGUUCGACUUCUCCUACAGUGCCAACUGCAAGGAUAUUCAAACCCACAUUUAAGCUCCGCAUGCAUGAUAUGGUGCACGAUCUUGCAAGACAUGUUGCUGGUGAUGAAUUAUCUUGCAUAAAUCUUGUGGCAAAUAGCAAUAUAAAGAGGGAUAGGUUAAGUUGCCACUAUCAAUCAUUACUAAAUCAAAACAGCACAUCAUGGACGUACAAGGAUUUUUCAACUAAGGUCAGGGCCCUGCAUCUUAGGGGUUGCGAAAAAUUGCAUCUUCCAAACCGAGCAUUCUCACACACAUUAUGUUUGAGAGUUCUGGAUUUGGGUGGAUGUGAUGUGUCAGAGCUACCUAAUUCUCUUUAUAAACUGAAGCUGUUACGGUAUCUUGAUGCUUCUGGCCUUCCUAUCUCAACCAUGCCCAAGUUCUUGAACCGUCUCUUGAACUUGCAAACGUUGAUAAUUUCAAACACUUCUUUGAAGAUAAUGCCCGCAAGCAUUAGUUGCCUCCGAAAGCUGCAAUACUUUGACCUAUCAGGAUGUGCCAACCUUUCUGAACUUCCCGUCACUUUUGGGUCCCUAAGUGCUCUGCUCUUUCUAAACUUGGCAAGAUGCCACGAACUGCAUGCACUUCCAGAAUCCUUUGGCAUGCUGGGGAGGCUUCAAUUUCUGAACCUAUCCGAUUGCUACAGACUCCAGUUGCUACCGAAAUCUUUUCGUCUGCUUCAUGACAUGAUACAUCUUGAUCUGUCGGAUUGCCAUAGCCUUGAAAUGCUCCCAGACUGUAUCGAUCAAAUCUCUAAGCUUGAGUAUUUGAACAUGACCAGCUGCUCCAAGAUUCAAAUGUUGCCUGAGUCUCUAUGCAAACUCAUGAUGUUAAAACAUCUAAAUUUGUCAUUCUGUGUAAAUCUUGAGCAUCUGCCCUCCUCUAUUGGUAAUUCACGACUUGAACGUUUGGACCUUGAAGGCUGUUUUUUCCUCGGUGACUUGCCAGAUAGCAUCUUUAGCAUGUCUACACUUGUACAUGUCGAAAGAACAUUAUUUACACUCAACAUAAAUUCUAAAGUUGAACAACUUGGGGAGAAACUAAAACUGAAAGGGUCAUGCGAGCUUGAUGGAGGAAACUGUGAUCUAUGGAGUCGAAUUGAAAAGCUCGAGAAGACACCCUACCAUGAAGUGAGGAUCCACGGUCUUGAGAAUGCAACGCAUUUGGAAGGGGAAGGAUCAGAGCAAGCUAAAAUAUUGUCGAACAACUCUAAGCUUACGAGGCUGAUUCUUUUAUGGGAACAUGCUGGCUGUAGCAGUCUGGUGGGGCUUGCUGACAAAUCGGUGAUGGAGAAGCUCGUGCCUCCUAGAAGUCUCCAACACCUAGGUAUUUGCGGUUAUAUGAGUAUAGACUUCCCUAGGUGGAUGCUGGACAUUCCUUCCUACAUACCUUACCUUACAACCAUCUUUCUUGUCGGUGUGAAAGGAUGCAACCACCUACCUCAACUUGGGCACCUACCAAACCUGAGAGCAUUGGGCUUGGCCAAAAUGCCCAAUAUCACGAGUGUUGGCCGUGAAUUUUAUGGGAACUAUGGAAACUGUCAGAAGCUGAGGAUGAUUGCGCUCAAUUCAAUGGAUAACUUGGAAGAGUGGUGGACAACGAGAUCAUCUAAUGAAGAUGGGGAGUUCCUAAUCCCUAAUCUGCAUCAAUUGGGUGUCGCGGAUUGCCCAAAGCUGAAGUUCCUGCCUUAUCCCCCAAGGAGCGUGACGUGGAUGGUGGGCAACAGCGAUCACGUGCUUCCGGAACGUGGCUUUGGGAACCUCUCAUCUACCACAAGUCCAUUUUUUCUUGUGAUCGGGGGUGCAUUACCUUCUUCUGAAAUGUGGCGUAGGGCCCGGUACCUCUCUUCGAUCGAGGGUCUUCAGCUUAACACCAUCACAGGCCUCAGAACCUUGCCAGAGGCCAUCCGAGGCUUCACGAACCUCCGGAAGCUUGAUAUACUGCUGUGUGCCGACUUAGAGAGACUGCCGGAAUGUCUGGGAGACUUCACUUCAUUGAGAAAAAUUCGCAUCCACAAGUGCCCAAAGCUGUCUUCGCUGCCAGAAAGAAUACGCGGCCUUACUGAGGUGGAGCUGCGGAUAGUCGACUGCCCAGCUCUGGAGAAUUGGCAAGGACAGGACAGGGGUGAGAUCGCUCAUAGUAUUUCACAAGUCUCGUAUCCAAGUAGGUAAUAUUAGCAGAUGGUUUCCACUACUUUCCCCACAACUGCAUCCCAGGAUUGGAUCCAUAGCAUGGCUGGUGGGCUUUUAAUUUAUAGCAAGAUCCUGCUUCAGCAGGGCACGCAACUGGAAAGGUGUGCCAACUGGGCUGGAAUUCACGUUUGUCAUCUCCCCCCUGCAGACAGCAAGAAGAACCUGGUUAUGGCCUCGUCGAACGCCGGACGAAAAGGGCGGGACACGUCGAGGUCCAAAGCACUGCAUUGGGUGCGAGGGACGCCGUGCCAUGACAUGGCUCUCGCUUGUGCUGCUGUGACAUGGAGGAACACCAAGUCAGAGGACUCUAUUGAGUCAGAAAUGGUAUUGUCCAGUGCAUGCAAAUCUGAAUGCCAAAUCAAUGGAUGCACCCCGGAUCCCUACGUUUCUGUUCACUGCAAUGAUUUUUUUAGCGACCGUGCUGAGCAUGUUUUUUAUUAAGAGGAGAGGAAGAAAAGUUUACAGAAAGCAGGAUCCAUGUGUCUACUUCAUAAAAAACAAGAAGUGAAAAUUGCACCAAAUCAUCAGCAGCCAUCAGUCAGCAGUCAGCAGUACUUUUCUCUCGUAACAAAUCAGCACCAGCUACCAGCCAAAACAAUGAUGAAUGUGUUGUUCGUCUUCCCAGGAAUAUAAUAUACAUUGUUAUUGAAGUUGAAGCAUGACAAGUGAUGUUCACUGUAAAUCAAUGGAUGGCUGCUGCUCUGCGAUC